GCCAAAAUUUGAAGGAAAAACGCAACGGCAAGCCAUAUAUUUUUUGGUGGAAUUUUGAAGGGGAGAUGAUGAACUUUGCUGAAUGGUGACUGAUUUUUUGAAAAUUGGCUUAAUAAAUAAUUGACAGUGAUUGGAAUUUGUAUGGAAGUCUAUGGGAAAACAUUUGGUGGUGUUUGUCCUAUACUGAGGUAGCGAGAACCAGUUUAUGAGAGAUUGGCUAACCCUCCCCCCUCUGGGAUAGGAGCACCCACACCAGCACAUAAGGCCUUUAGGGAUUCCCCAGGACCAUUAUUUGUACUGUGAGCUGCACUGUGAGCCCGACCAUGAAAGUUGCGUGCAAAGGUGACAUUCUUGGGUAGUGAACGCCUUAGACGUCGAUUAAAGCUCUCCACUUUCUGUGUAUUGCUAUUUAGAAUGGAUUUGUCUAGCACUGACGGAGCAAGCCGUUUAUUGACACAGGCUCUAAGAAUCCUUGCAUUGGCCCUGGAGUAAGGAAUUCUGAAGUUUUCAUCAAGAGAAGACUCGGCUGGAG